rnacentral:ncRNA from 1 species
CCACGUUCUCAGGGCGGGGUGGAAUUCCCCACCGGCGGUGACGGCGACGCGGCCCCCAUGGCCGCGGCGGCGGAGCCCGCGAGCGCCCGGCGGACCCGCCGCCCCGCAGCGGCCCGGGUCCGGCGGGGUCAGCAGACCAGGUGCGAUUCCUGGGCCGACGGUGACAGUCCGGAUGGAAGAGAACCCCG